rnacentral:rRNA from 1 species
CGGGGCGGGUGAGUAAUGUCUGGGAAACUGCCCGAUGGAGGGGGAUAACUACUGGAAACGGUAGCUAAUACCGCAUAACGUCGCAAGACCAAAGAGGGGGACCUUCGGGCCUCUUGCCAUCGGAUGUGCCCAGAUGGGAUUAGCUAGUAGGUGGGGUAACGGCUCACCUAGGCGACGAUCCCUAGCUGGUCUGAGAGGAUGAUCAGCCACACUGGGACUGAGACACGGCCCAG